UGUGAUUUUGCCAUUCCAGUUUAUUGAAAUGAGUAAAUUUAUAGCUUUAAUUUGCAUACAGAAAAGUGCAAGAGAAAAUAAGUAUGUACAAAACAGUUGCUUGGGUGAUCAUCACUUUUAAAAAUUCAACUACCUAGAAAUAGAUGCCUCCAGUUCAGCACUUUUAGGUAUUUGGACCUUUAAAGUACUAUUUCAAGUCUCUGUUUAUGACUGAGUAGGAAGCCAGAUGGAAAAAUUAUGCAUUAUAUAAUCAACUGUUCCCAUUAAACACAAAACCACAGGACUUUAGCUUGGGCUACCUGGAGCUAAUCAAGAGGCUCUCAAGGCCACCUUGUUUAAAUCCUGAGCAGUGGUUCUUUUGUCCCUGGAAAGGGAACACUGGAUGUGGUUGAUUAACACCCACAAGAACCUGACCAUUAAGGGUAAAGAGAUAACAUUUUAAAAACCCACAUAAAACAAAACUCAUUUUGGCAAGAACAAACCCUUCAGAACUGUGCUAACAAUAGGACUGAAAAUGAACCGGGAAAGUUUCCAAGGUUAUGGGGAAAAAAUACUGCAGACAUUAGAUUUUUGAUGAUAACCCCAAAUACUUUUUCUUCACCUUUUCCCCUCCCAUUUAUCUUCCUACUAUGAAACUGUGGCUUCCAGAAAGUUUCCCAGUUACUUGGUAAAGGCCUCACAUGCCCCCUCCCAUAAGCACCAGUGUGUUGGGCACAGUCACAUUUAGCUUCAUAAUGUGCUGCUCUGUAGUAUACGGUCCUUCAUUGUUGAAUGGAGCUCAAAUUCUCUUCUACAUUCACUGCUCUUCUGGACUUCAGCUUGAGGGUGGUGACCUCAUCUGUGGAAGGUUAUACGGUAUACAUAUGCAGUUUCUGGGACUAGCAUUUACUCAGGAGCAAGCCAGGCUCCAGGACUGUGAAUCAUUUGAUGUUUUUUUAAUCCCAUGAAAAUCAUUUGCUUGUAAAAACAAAAAAACCAAACAGAAAACCUUGGGGCGGGGGGGAAUCUGAACCCAGGAACAAAACAGACUGAACAGAGAAUCAGAGGAAAAAGGCAAAGAGAGAUGCAUAAUGUUUUCCCCUCAUUUGCAAUAGCUAGAAAGUCAGCAAAAGGACAAUCUUAGCUUUGAGAGAAGAUGAUUUUCAGUAAGAGGAGAAACUAUCUUUAAAAAUGUCCUCAGGUGUAUUACAUUCCAAAUUAUCUGAGGAGAAGUUGGAUUUCCAUUUUAUUUAAAAAAUUCUCUAUAAGUGAUGGUUGGAAGGAAGUUCUUUUAAGAAAGUGUCUUGUUCUACUGGAAUUUUAGAUUUUACGCUCUAAAACAGAACUCUCAGAUUAAGCAAGAAGGAAUUGGCCUUUUACUCAAAACAGUAUGAUAUAAGGGGUGGUGGUGGCUGCAUCACCCAACCAGAAAGUAGAGGGUGUAGUGUUUGGAAACGGUCUAGGAACACAUAGAUAAGAAUUUGGUAGGCAAACUACUUCAUUUACAUUUAAACUAAAGAGUUUAGGAUCUUAGUUUACUUAAAGCCAUCGAUUCAUUUUAGCUUUAGCAUAGACAGAAAGUGAAAGAAAUUUUACAAGUGGAAGAGGCAAAAAGAAAUAAGGCAACAGAUAAUUUGUCGAAGCUGGAACAAGGACAGUGGUCAGGACGUGUCUGGCUAUUAGCUUUGUCCUUGAUGACUAAGGCCAACCUUUUCGUUCCUUGGAUAGUCAGCAUUCCAAGUUCCUACAGAAAGAUGGAGAAGAAAAGACUUCUGGUUAGAAUUUUUAGACUGAAUAUAAAUGUGUUGAAUAUCUAGUCAUUAUUAAACAAUGUCAACAAUAGUAUCUCCCAGGGCCAAAG
rnacentral:lncRNA from 1 species